CUCUACGGGAGGCAGCAGUGAGGAAUAUUGGUCAAUGGACGAGAGUCUGAACCAGCCAAGUAGCGUGAAGGAUGACUGCCCUAUGGGUUGUAAACUUCUUUUAUAUGGGAAUAAAAUGUUCCAGGUGUGGGAUUUUGUAUGUACCAUACCAUAAGGAUCGGCUAACUCCGUGCCAGCAGCCGCGGUAAUACGGAGGAUCCGAGCGUUAUCCGGAUUUAUUGGGUUUAAAGGGAGCGUAGGUGGAUUGUUAAGUUAGUUGUGAAAGUUUG
rnacentral:rRNA from 1 species